AUUGAACGCUGGCGGCAGGCCUAACACAUGCAAGUCGAGCGGAUGAAGGGAGCUUGCUCCUGGAUUCAGCGGCGGACGGGGGAGGAAUGCCUAGGAGUCUGCCUGGUAGUGGGGGAUAACGUCUGGAAACGGGCGCUACUACCGCAGACGUCCUGAGCGAGAAAGUGGGGGAUCUUCGGACCUCACGCUAUCAGAUGAGGCUAGGUCGGAUUAGCUAGUUGGUGGGGUAAAGGCCUACCAAGGCGACGUUCCGUAACUGGUCUGAGAGGAUGAUCAGUCACACUGGAACGGAGACACGCUCCAUCCGCCUACGGGAGGGAGCAGUGGGGAAUGUUGGGCAAUGGGCGAAAGCCUGAUCCAGCCGUGCCGCGUGUGUGAAGAAGGUCUUCGGAUUGGAAAGAACUUUAAGUUGGGAGGAAGGGCAGUAAGUUAAUACCUAGCUGUUUUGACGUUACCAGCAGAAUAAGCACCGGCUAACUUCGUG
rnacentral:rRNA from 1 species